CAUACCGCAGAUAUUUUGUAUAACUUAAUGACGUUCGUGGUUGUGAAUAUGUUGAUAUGCAGACUGCCCGCCAUUUUGUGAACGCUGUAACACGAGGUGAUUGUGAAAUGCGUUUAAUUCGAUUCAAAUUGACUUCAGUUACAGGUUAUAGUGUUCAUUAUGAGUUUACUUCAAAUUUGUGUUUGGUUUAUUAAGUUAUGUAUACAUAUAAAGAUCGGGUGCACUUAUUUUGCAGAACUGUCUUAUCUGUCCAACGCCUUCUGCGGGGGGUCUGUAACAUCAAGAAAUAUAUAAUAUAUUAAUAUUUAUGUGCCCUGAAGGCUAUGCUGUGAGCAGCCACAAAUAUUCUUGUGCAGUAAAAACAGUUUACAUGUAUGCAAUUUGUCAUAUGAAUUGUAUAGAGAGAGGGAGGAUUGUUUUCUCUAUAUAUUAGUGAUGCUAAAUAAAAUGGCUGGUAUCUUCACAUUGUUUUACAUUUCUGUGUCUGCAUUGCUUUUGCAUGGUGACAUAUGAAUAGUUAAUACAAUAGCAAUUGUAUUUUUGCUUAAGCUCUUUUUGUGUUUGUUUCAGAUCAAUUGACAGCUUUGUCAUUAACACUGACAGACCUUGUCGAAAGAUUUAAAGAGGAGGGGAUUGAUGAAGAUAGUUUUCUUUUAGAUGAGGCUACCAUCAACCAGUUGAUCCUAAAACAGGAGGGGAAGCUGACAUUGCCCCUGGAUGGAUUAACACCAGAUGGUGUUGGGGAACUUGCCCUGAGACAGUUGCCAGCCUUGCUUCCACCUACAACUUACAAAGGUGUGAAAGUAGUUCGCCACACCAUUCAGGAAUGCAGCUUGGCCUUCAUCGACCAUAAGCCUCCUGGAAUAAACAUGGUGGAGUACCUCCAUGAGGCCAAGGCAUGCAAGACAUACCCUCACAUCCUGACGCUGGGAAAUGAUCAGAGUGCAUUUCAGGCCUUCGUCAUAAUAGCUGGACAGGCCCUGGAACUAGAAACACUGCUUUGGGCCAUUGAUGUCUGCUUCAAGGCAUUCUUUGUCUUUGACAUUGAAUACCCAAAGCAGUGUGAACAUGUGUGGGAAUUCAUACAGAAUGUGAUAUAUGAAAUCUAAAAUGGUUAAGUUUAUUCAAACUAGAAUACUUGCUUGCAAGUAGAGAUAAUGGCUCUUAAAAGCAGCAUUAAGGAAUUUGAAUUUGUUCACUAGAGCUGCUGACUGUUGGCCUGUUGAAUGUUCAGCCAGUUCAAUCGAAAUUGUUUUGCUUUGAAUGUUUUCCAACCUGAGUGAACUGCACCAGUUCCACUAUAUUGUCGAUAUUAAUGUAAUAAUUUUUUUCAAAGAUUC